AUAUUUACAAUGAGCAAACUUGGGAAAAAUAGACAGCAUGGGAGGUUUGCUCUUCUAUUGUUGUUGAUGUGAAAGUCUCAUACUACUAAUUUGCCAAAAUCUGCUAGUACCACCAACACAGGAUGUUCAUUUACUGCAAUGCGCAGGUGAAACUGAGAGGUGUGAGCUCCAGACAAAGACGGUCUGUGUUUCCACUGAGUGGUGUCAGGGCCAUGCAAAUAGGAUAGGCAAACACUGCCCUUAAGCCACACUGAAGCCUUUGUGAUGCUGCAUGUUCCUUGAGCAGUUAUCAGAAAAACUAACCCAUGUGCAUAUUGAAUUCGGUGCCGAGAAGCCGGACGGAUCAUUUUUCGGCCUGCGAAGUGGUGCAUGUGUAGUGCCUAUGCCAAAGUGGCCCAGAUGAGUGAAGCCGAUAUCAUUAUGGAAGGCAUCCUGCUGAAGAUGUCCCAGCAGAAAAAGAAAAUAUCUCCUAGGAACUAUAAAGAGCGGCUCUUCGUUCUGACCAGCCAGGCUCUGAUUUACUAUGAACAGGAAAAGGGGAAGAAAAAGAGAAAAAAGGGGUCAGUUCGGACAGAAAGUAUCUGCUAUGUGGAAAAAGUUGAGGCAGAGAGGAAUGCGCCUGUAGAAAGAAUGUUCCCCUUUCAGAUCGCAUAUGAUGACUCCAUCCUGUACAUGUUUGCAAAGGAUGAUGCAGAUAGGAUGAUCUGGUUAGAGGCUGUGAUGCAAGUAAUAAAGGAUAAUGUCAAGCUCUCUGCAAAGUACCACAAAGCAUUCUGGGUAGACGGAAUGUUCCAGUGCUGUGGCCAGACUGUAAAGAAUGCUCCAGGCUGCUGUGACUGGCACAAAGAAUCAAUGAAGCGCAGAGCAACUUCUCGAAAAAUGGCAUUACCUCCUUUGCCAUCUGCAAAGCUCCCAGAGAGAAUUCAACUUCCUCCCAUCCCGGAAGAUGAAGACAGUGCUUGUGUGGAGGUUGUGGCUCUGUAUGACUACACUGCCAGGAAGUCUGGAGAGCUAAGUCUUGUGAAGGGGAACAGAUACGUCUCUCUGGAAAAGCUGUCGGGUGACUGGUGGAAAAUCAGAGACACAGCUGGUUCUGAAGGAGUUGUCCCUUCUAAUUACAUGGAGGAAGUGGAAAGCAACCACAGUUUGAGACGUCCGGUUGAUGACCACAUAGAGGACUAUCCCUGGUACGUGGGCAACAUGUCUCGAGUGAAGACGGAGCAGCUGCUACGCGAGAAGGGUAAAGAAGGAUCAUUCGUGGUUAGAGACUCCAGUCAAAAAGGAGUAUACACAGUGUCGCUCUUUAGCCGAGCACUAGAUGAAGUGAAAGGGACUGUAAGGCAUUAUCUCAUUAACGUGAAUGCAGAAGGGCUGUAUUACUUGGCAGAGAACCACCUGUUUGAGUCCAUUCCCCAAAUGAUAGAGUACCAUCAACACAAUGCGGCAGGCCUGCUUACAAGACUGCGGCUUCCUGCUACAGAAACCGAUCUCACAUCUCAGUCAGCACAGGGUGCGUGGGAGCUGAGACGAGAAGACGUGUGUCUGGUGAAAGAGCUAGGCAGCGGCCAGUUCGGAGUGGUCCAGCUCGGCAUGUGGAAGGGCAAACAUCAGGUGGCCAUUAAGAUGGUGAAAGAGGGCUGCAUGUCGUCAGACGAGUUUAUAGAGGAAGCCCAGAUCAUGAUGAAAUUCCGGCAUCCUAAGCUUGUGAGGCUCCACGGUGUGUGUACCAAGUGCUUUCCCAUCUACAUCGUGACAGAGUUCAUGAGUAAUGGCUGCCUGCUGGAGUACCUGAGGCAUCAUGGGAAAGAGCUGCGUCCUCGGCGUCUCCUUACCAUGUGCCUGGAUGUGUGUGAGGCGAUGGCUUACCUCGAGGGUCAGCAGUUCAUUCACAGAGAUCUAGCUGCGAGGAACUGUUUGGUAGAUAAAGAUUUAUCUGUCAAAGUGUCUGACUUUGGAAUGGCAAGAUAUGUACUGGAUGAUCAGUACACCAGUUCUGCAGGUACAAAGUUUCCUGUGAAGUGGUCGGCCCCUGAGGUUCUGAACUACACGAGGUUUAGCAGCAAGUCCGAUGUGUGUGCUGAUGUGGGAGGUGUACAGUCUGGGCAAGCAGCCCUAUGAGCACUAUGAUAAUGCACAUGUAGCUGAGAGAGUGAUGCAGGGUCAUCGCCUGUAUAGACCACAGCUGGCCACAGAUCAGAUCUACCAAGUUAUGAAAUCAUGCUGGCAUGAGCUUCCAGAGGGGAGGCCCAACUUUCAGAAGCUUUUUAAUGAUCUCAGUGCAUGUGUAGAGGACAGUAAACAAUGAUUACACUACAUGAACUUUAUAUUGUGCAUUUGCAAACAUUACUGUAGUAACUUGUUUUUGUAUCUUGUUAUGAGGCAAUAAUAAUAAUAAUAAUAAUAAUAAUAAUAAUAAUAAUAAUAACCCUCUUCCUCUGUGUUUCAUGCACAGUAACACCUGAAUGAUUUGUUGAUUUGUUUUGGACAUCCAAAACAGCGAGAAGUAGAGAAUAGUUGUAAUAAAUCAAGCCUCUGCAUGCUCCAAAAGUGCACAUUACAGAAUGAGUAGCAAUAUUUCUAGAGGCCCACACAUCUAUUGGGUUUAGUGAGCGUGAUAUUUCCUGUUUGCUCAUAGCAACUUAACCACCGCUGUUCACCAGAAUAUCUCACUAAAAUUAGGUUAGGUAUUGGUACUUCUUAUGGGCACAUAAGUUUGCCUCAGUAAAAAAAAAAAAAAAAAAAAAAGAAGAAGGUUGUAUUAAGAGAAUCGAUGUA